rnacentral:rRNA from 1 species
ACGAACGCUGGCGGCGUGCUUAACACAUGCAAGUCGAACGGUAAGGCCCCUUCGGGGGUACACGAGUGGCGAACGGGUGAGUAACACGUGAGCAACCUGCCCUUGACUCUGGAAUAACAGUUGGAAACAGCUGCUAAUACUGGAUAUUCAUCGUCUCCUUCCUGGGGGGUGAUGGAAAGCUCCGGCGGUCAGGGAUGGGCUCGCGGCCUAUCAGCUUGUUGGUGAGGUAAUGGCUCACCAAGGCUUCGACGGGUAGCCGGCCUGAGAGGGCGACCGGCCACACUGGGACUGAGAUACGGCCCAGACUCCUACGGGAGGCAGCAGUGGGGAAUAUUGCACAAUGGGCGCAAGCCUGAUGCAGCAACGCCGCGUGCGGGAUGACGGCCUUCGGGUUGUAAACCGCUUUCAGUAGGGACGAAGGGUGACUGACGGUACCUACAGAAGAAGGACCGGCUAACUACGUG